rnacentral:misc_RNA from 1 species
GAAAUGCGAUAAGUAGUGUGAAUUGCAGAAUUCAGUGAAUCAUCGAAUCUUUGAACGCACAUUGCGCCCCUCGGCAUUCCGUGGGGCAUGCCUGUUCGAGCGUCAUCUACACCCUCAAGCUCUGCUUGGUGUUGGGCGUCUGUCCCGCCUCCGCGCGCGGACUCGCCCCAAAUGCAUUGGCAGCGGUUCCUUGCCCCCCUCUUUGCGCAGCACAUUGCCAUUCGAGGCGGCUGCGGCCCGCGUCCAACAAGCUCAACCCCCCCGUCUUUGACCUCGGAUCAGGUAGGGAUACCCGCUGAACUUAAGC